CUACUACUCCCUCCGUCCGAAAAAAAUUGUCCCAAACUUGUCCCUUAAAUAGAUGUAUCUACCACUAACUUGAUGCUAGAUACAUCUAUUUGAAGGACAAACUUUUUCGGAUAGAGGGAGUACAAA
rfam:Triticum aestivum genome assembly, contig: Triticum_aestivum_CS42_TGACv1_scaffold_306982_4AS